GCCGGGAUGGCCCAGUCUGGUACGGCGCGAGCCUGCUAAGCUCGUUCUCGAAAGAGAUCCAGGGUUCAAAUCCCUGUCCCGGCG
rnacentral:tRNA from 2 species